rnacentral:rRNA from 1 species
UACGUAGGUGGCAAGCGUUGUCCGGAAUUAUUGGGCGUAAAGCGCGCGCAGGUGGUUCCUUAAGUCUGAUGUGAAAGCCCACGGCUCAACCGUGGAGGGUCAUUGGAAACUGGGGAACUUGAGUGCAGAAGAGGAAAGUGGAAUUCCAAGUGUAGCGGUGAAAUGCGUAGAGAUUUGGAGGAACACCAGUGGCGAAGGCGACUUUCUGGUCUGUAACUGACACUGAGGCGCGAAAGCGUCGGGAGCAAACAGG